ACCCUUAGCGGCCCACGACGCGCCACCCGCCGCCCGCCGAACGACCAGUAUCACGUGGUGUUCAGUAUCGCGUCGCGGGAAACGGAUCCGAAAAAAAAAAAAACAAAAUUUCCGUUAUUUUUUCCCCGCUCCUCCAUUUAGAAAAAAAAAAAAAAAUAAUAAUAAAAGAAAUAUCGCACGCGAAUAUUUAUAAAAAAAAAAAAAAAAAAAAAAAAACAU